CUCACUUCCAGAGUUUCUGCUGAAUGCUUCCUAUGACAUAUUGUGAUGACACUGUUGAUGGAUUACAAAUAAUUGAAUAUGCGAAUUGAGACCCUUUGAGAAUACAAAAUCACAAGCAGAGCAGCAGGGCCUGGCACUGUGGUCUCAACCCAGGAGGACAAAAGAGAAUGUAUGCCUUCAGGACGGUGGUCAGGAUGGGAAGGAGAGUG
rnacentral:lncRNA from 1 species